GACGAACGCUGGCGGCGUGCUUAACACAUGCAAGUCGAACGGAAAGGCCCUGCUUUUGUGGGGUGCUCGAGUGGCGAACGGGUGAGUAACACGUGAGUAACCUGCCCUUGACUUUGGGAUAACUUCAGGAAACUGGGGCUAAUACCGGAUAGGAGCUCCUGCUGCAUGGUGGGGGUUGGAAAGUUUCGGCGGUUGGGGAUGGACUCGCGGCUUAUCAGCUUGUUGGUGGGGUAGUGGCUUACCAAGGCUUUGACGGGUAGCCGGCCUGAGAGGGUGACCGGCCACAUUGGGACUGAGAUACGGCCCAGACUCCUACGGGAGGCAGCAGUGGGGAAUAUUGCGCAAUGGGCGGAAGCCUGAUGCAGCAACACCGCGUGCGGGAUGACGGCCUUCGGGUUGUAAACCGCUUUCGCCUGUGACGAAGCGUGAGUGACGGUAAUGGGUAAAGAAGCACCGGCUAACUACGUG
rnacentral:rRNA from 1 species